rnacentral:misc_RNA from 1 species
GAUGAAGAACGUAGCGAAAUGCGAUAAGUAAUGUGAAUUGCAGAAUUCAGUGAAUCAUCGAAUCUUUGAACGCACCUUGCGCCCUUUGGCCAUUCCGAAGGGCAUGCCUGUUUGAGUAUCAUGAACACCUCAACUCUUUAUGGUUUUCCAUGAUGAGCUUGGACUCUGGGGGUUUUGCUGGCUCACAGUCGGCUCCUCUAAAAUGAAUCAGCUUACCAGUGUUUGGUGGGUAUCAUGGGUGUGAUAACUAUCUACGCUUGUGGUUUUUCCACCAGGUAACCUUCAGCAGUGGAGGUUCGCUGGAGCUCAUAGAUGUCUCUCCUCAGUGAGGACAGCCCUUUGAAUGUUUGAUCUCAAAUCAGGUGGACUACCCGCUGAACUUAAGCAUAUCAAUAAGCGGAGGA